rnacentral:lncRNA from 1 species
UGCUGGCAGUUAUCACACUCACAGUCCCUUGUGUGGGCAGCUAGAUAGUGCUGGCAGGACACCUCCCAGGAUGGGGUGCCAUUGCUGGUUUGGGUUACAGACUUCUUUAAAAUAAGUGUAAGUGCUCUUUUGCUUUUUUCUGGCUUUCAUUGUCAGGAAAAUGUUAACCAACUUUCUGCAGUUAUGGGGUAGGGCUUGUUUUUCUUUUCAGUUUUAUUCUGUGGCUUUGUCAUUCAGGCAGCUUCCUGAGAGGGAUGUUUCCAAUGCUUAAAAUUUAAAAUAAAUCCCUGGUUUCUCACAAACAGCGAGAUGUAAUGCAUUAUUGUUUUGGAAGCACAGCCGAAUGCAUCUGUGGGCUUCAGCAACGAGUAAGACAGUAGCAGGGUGAAGGCAAGGCCCAGGGCUGCUGCAUGCAGCUCCAAAUGUGUGUCACCAGCACACUCCAAGGGGUCAGUGGGCCCAGAUCUCAGGAUGCCACCUUUCCCCAUCAUGCUGUGGCUCCUGCAUGA